AGAGUUUGGGUUUGUUGUCUGUGCUGUGAGGAAGAAGAAGGAGUCUGUGCUGCGAGGAGCUGUCCAUGAGAAAUCACCGAGAAGCUUGUGUCUCCCUGGCACAGAUGCUGCUUUGAUCCAUGAAUGUUUCUGGUCUUUGGAAGAUGAGGAAGACUAGGAACUGUGCUCUUACUGCACAUCUGGGAAGAGUUGGAGACAGGGCGAAGUAUGGAGGGGCUUUGCAGCUGGUCUACAAGCAAAACUGAGUCAGUAGAAGAAAUAACAAUUGAUGAUUUUUGAGUGUAUCCAUACCAAAGAAGAAGACAAAGCUGUCAACAUAGGAACAAAUUAAAAGAGAUACAUGAAUAUUUUUGUAAGCUAAAAAUUUUUGUAAGCAUGUGUAUGUGUGUCUUAUUAAAUUUCUAUAAAACUUUUACCAAUUAUAUUGACACUUAUUACUUUACACCAAUAAAUAAGUUAUUAUGAUGUAGUUAAUAACUUACUUAAAAUCACACUUUAUUUUGUGUGUUCUCUAGGUUAUAUACACUCAAAAACUUUUUCUUCUUAAAACUUUUUCUUACCGUCCAACCUAACAGUAAGAGAUUUGCAAGGCUGUUGGCAUCACCUGCAUUCCUUGUCCCUUGCUCUAUAACUGGAAUAAAUAAAUUUUUAUGGAUAAGCCCAGCUUACCAGAUAAGUCAUUAAACUGCAUGAUUUCCUCCAGGGAAAGCGAUGGAUUGUCCAUGACACUGUGGAAAAUGAAUUUAUAGAGAAUUUUAAAAGAUUGAUAGAAGGUUUAUACAGUGUGUAUUUGCAUGUAAAUUUUGAGAUAAGAAAUGUUAAUUUAACAGACCAAUUUUGCAGAGCUGUGGGAAUAGCAGCUUUUGAGGAGAGAUUUAGGAAAGGAGAGUUCUCUGUGACCAUGGCUGGCUCUGGUUGGGCAGAGGAAGGUUUUGCACGUGUAAGGAUGGCUUGGCAGGCAUCCCAUGGCACAUCAACCUUCCCUCUGUGCAGGUUGAGCUGUGCUGAGGUUUUACAGCCAGAGGCUCUCCAGGAGAUGCUGGGUGAGCGAGAACCCCAUGGGAUGUCCUGCAGGUUCUGUUGUUUAACCAUGGUGAAACUCAUCCUGUUUUUAACUCAGUGCAACUACUGGUUCUGCUGGUGGUGUUUUGCUGCUCUAAGGGUUUGCAUGGCUCACAAACAGGUUUUGGAUGGAGUGUAUUCAUUUCCUUCUGAAAUAUGCUCAUGAAUGCGUGGCAAGAUUUCUUUGUGUCUUUCUCCAUCAGGACUGCAAAGGUUUGGGUUUGUUGGUUUGUUUCCCUGCCCGGAGCAGUAAAUCAACAGGCUGUAAUUAAAGAUGUUAAGAAGCUCCUUCAUUUUCCAGUCCAAAGUUUAAUUUACUGAAGCAUCUCUAACUAUCUGGCAGCUGAAUCACACAUUUUCUAUUUCUCCUCUCCUUUGUGGAGCAGGACAGAAGAGCAGAGACACCACUCUCAGUGCUGCUGAGUGACUCUAUCAGCUCAGGACACCCUUGGCUGUUCCCCUUCCCUCUUCCAGAGCAAAACCUUUUUCUCAGCACUGCUCCAACCUGGAUUUUUCCAUUCCCUGGUUGCUACUGUUGUUCUCCUUUUGUUUCCAAAAAGAAAAAAAAAAAAAACAGAUGUCUUUAGUGCUGUUUACCCCAGGAAACAUUUUGAGCAUUCAGUAAUAAAACUGGGAGGAAAUCCUUCACUUCCUUUAUGCCUCCUAGCAAGUAACCACAUCAAUAUGAAGUGAGGAUGUUUUUGGGUACUAACCCAAUGUCACCGAUCAAAACACAGCCAUAAAUACUUUCAAGAUGCAGCCUUGAAUCAGGAUGGUGCAUGAGGAAAAGCCACUUCUGUUUUGGAAAGGAAUGCUUUCCUUCUGCAACCACUUUCUAAAUUGCUCUGACAUUUAGCAAUUAACAUACAAAA